ACGCGAGGAACCUUACCAGGUCUUGACAUCCCAUUGACCGCUAUGGAGACAUAGCUUUCCCUUCGGGGACAGUGGUGACAGGUGGUGCAUGGUUGUCGUCAGCUCGUGUCGUGAGAUGUUGGGUUAAGUCCCGCAACGAGCGCAACCCUUGAUCUUAGUUGCCAGCAUUUAGUUGGGCACUCUAAGGAGACUGCCGGUGACAAACCGGAGGAAGGUGGGGAUGAUGUCAAAUCAUCAUGCCCCUUAUGACCUGGGCUACACACGUGCUACAAUGGACGGUACAAACGGUUGCCAACCCGCGAGGGGGAGCUAAUCCGAUAAAACCGUUCUCAGUUCGGAUUGUAGGCUGCAACUCGCCUACAUGAAGCCGGAAUCGCUAGUAAUCGCGGAUCAGCAUGCCGCGGUGAAUACGUUCCCGGGCCUUGCACACACCGCCCGU
rnacentral:rRNA from 1 species